GACGAACGCUGGCGGCGUGCCUAAUACAUGCAAGUCGAACGCAGUGGGGACGGGUGAGUAACACGUGGGUAACCUCCCAUCAGAGGGGAUAACACUUGGAAACAGGUGCUAAACCGAUACUGAUGGAUGGUCCCGGGGUGCAUUAGCUAGUUGGUGAGGUAACGGUUCACCAAGGCCACGAUCCAUAGCCGUGCUGAGAGGAGGAUCAGUCACACUGGAACUGAGACACGGUCCAGACUCCUACGGGAGGCAGCAGUGGGGAAUAUUGGGCAAUGGGCGAAAGUCUGACCGAGCCACGCCGCGUGAGUGAAGAAGGUUGUCGGAUCGUAAAACUCUGUAGUUUGGGAAGCGUUAUCUACCGAGAAAGCCACGGCUAACUACGUGCCAGCCGCCGCGGUAAUUC
rnacentral:rRNA from 1 species